rnacentral:rRNA from 1 species
UGGGUAACCUGCCUUAUAGUGGGGGAUAGCCUUUCGAAAGGAAGAUUAAUACCGCAUAAGAUUGUAGUAUCGCAUGAUAUAGCAAUUAAAGGAGCAAUCCGCUAUAAGAUGGACCCGCGUCGCAUUAGCUAGUUGGUGAGGUAAUGGCUCACCAAGGCGACGAUGCGUAGCCGACCUGAGAGGAUGACCAGCCACACUGGAACUGAGACACGGUCCAGACUCCUACGGGAGGCAGCAUG